AGAGUUAUAGAACCAUAGUCAGGCUUAUAAAUCGCAAACCUAGAAGUUAAAUUCUGUCAUGCCUGGCUAAAGAGUCCAGGCUUCCCCCAAUAGAAAUUUAUAGAUUCAUUAAUGGUUUUAACUUCAAUUGGCUGCAAGUGGCCUCCCCAUUAUGAACCUCCUCAGAUAGACCUCUUUAGAGUGUCCGGCAGCGAGAGACCCACACUUCAGGACCAAUCUGGGUGAUUAUGGGAAUGAAGAAGUCACGACAGAUUUCAUCACUGGGAAAGCCUGCCAUGUCUCGUUUCCCAAAGUGACCUGUACUGACAACCUUUAGACAGGACAGUGGAGAAGCCUGCAUCCACAUGAAAGACAGAGAGAGUCUAAGAUAUGGUGUUGAUGGUAGCAGCCGAGAUGGUAAAAAGUAGGCCAGGGGCUGGGCCAUGUGGUGAAGCAGAGAGAAGAGCCCCAGGGCUUCAAAGCCACUGGAAAGAGAAAAGGACAUGUUUAGUGCCAAAACAAACUUGUAAAACAUGGCCAGGAAAUGCCACAGAACUACCCAGGAAAUGCUGGGCAUACCUUCGAGGAGGAGAAGUACAAAGGACACUGCUAUUAGGCUGCCUGUCUCUGCUAUGUCUAGUUCACGCUCUUUCCCCCUCCCCCCUUCUAAAAGAUA